UACCACUCCUUCUUAAAUGUAUGUAUGUAUAUUGAAAACUCAUUUAACUUUUAUGUUUUUGCAAUAGGAAGAUGUAUACUUCUGAGUCAUGCAUUAUAGUAUCAAUUAAAGGAUACAUAUUGAUUAAAUAUAUUUUAUAUUCAACCAUUGAAGAUGGAGAUAUGUUUCUGUUAAUGCUUUGCAAUAGUAUUUGCAGUUGAAAGGGUAAAUUUAUUUAAAAAAAUUUAUUUUAAAGUUUAUCUUUUUAAAAAUUAAAUAUAAAUUGAAUUAAUACAUACAAUCAGUAUGCAUUAAUUUUUUUUAUGGUUUAAAGUAUAUUUGAGUAGUUUACCAUAAAUUCAUGGUUAUAUCAACUAGAAACUUAGUUGAUAUGUUCAUUAUUGUAUGGACUUUUAUUUUUUGUAUGUGCCAAAUUGGUGCUGUGACCCUGAAUUUGCAGUUUACUGAAAAUAAAAUACUGGGUCAUAUGGACGCAUAUUCAUGUUUUUAUUAUUUUGUUUAUAAUGCAGUGGUAAAUAGAAAAUAGCUUGUGAUCAUUAUUUAAUGAAAAAGGUUAACAUCAGUUUGAAAAUUCUAUAGAAUGCAGUGAACAUUAAGAGGAAGGUUACUCAUUUAUUUGCAAUAAACUGUAUGAAAAAUUA
rnacentral:lncRNA from 1 species